UGGACAGUCAUGGCUUUUGCUGGCAGCACUUUAUUAUGUCACAUGCCUCACAGUGUAAUGGUGUCAAAAUAUGGGCACAGAGAGAAGAAAAGCAUUAAAUAGACCAACAUGAAGCACAGAGUAGCUGUGGUUUUCACACAGAACGAGCAGAGGCAGAUGCUGCUACAACCUAGAUGAUGUUUUCUGUCAUGUCAUUUCCAUGCAUUGCGUGAGUACCCCCUGCCACUUCCCUCAUUGUCUGGUGAAGACAAAACUCCAAAAGAAGCAACAUUUAUGCUACUUGCAUUACUGUGAUGAAC
rnacentral:lncRNA from 1 species